GGAUUUUUUUUCAUUUCCCCUUCCCAACGCCUCUCUCUCUCUCUCUCUCUCUCCUGUUUAAUUUUCACCGGCAACGUCUCCACCGGCCGGCCGGCAGUGCCAGUCAUUCUUCCCCUCCUUUUUUCGCCGAAAAAGCUCUCUCUCUCUCUCUCUCUCUUUCUCUCUCACAGGAUCUAUCUCGCCUCGUCGGAAAAGCUCUCCCUUUCUCUCGCCGAUACUCUCUGCAAAGCUAAAGAAUGGCUUGAGGUCUAUUUCCAGCUCCCUUUGGUCAUGACUGCUAACAACUUCAUUUCUCAAUAAAAGAUAGGACCUACUUUAAAAUAAAUUUUGUUGGGCUUGAAAGUUCUCUUGGUUCAUUUUGUUGCCUUAAAUUUGUACUUUUUUUGCUAGGUUUGAUAUUGACCUUAAAUAAUUUAUUUCCUCUGUUGACAUUUCAGUUUUGAGAGGAAGUGCUAUGUUUUCAUAGUUCUAACAAUGUCAGGAAAUAAGAAAAUUGCUUCUGCUUUUUAAAUUUGUAAA